CCUACGGGUGGCAGCAGUGAGGAAUAUUGGUCAAUGGGCGCGAGCCUGAACCAGCCAAGUCGCGUGAGGGAAGACGGUCCUAUGGAUUGUAAACCUCUUUUGUCGGGGAGCAAAAGACGCCACGCGUGGCGUUCCGAGAGUACCCGAAGAAAAAGCAUCGGCUAACUCCGUGCCAGCAGCCGCGGUAAUACGGAGGAUGCGAGCGUUAUCCGGAUUUAUUGGGUUUAAAGGGUGCGCAGGCGGGGGAUCAAGUCAGCGGUAAAAUUGAGAGGCUCAACCUCUUCGAGCCGUUGAAACUGGUGUUCUUGAGUGAGUGAGAAGUAUGCGGAAUGCGUGGUGUAGCGGUGAAAUGCAUAGAUAUCACGCAGAACUCCGAUUGCGAAGGCAGCAUACCGGCGCUCAACUGACGCUCAUGCACGAAAGUGUGGGUAUCGAACAGGAUUAGAUACCCUAGUAGUC
rnacentral:rRNA from 1 species